rnacentral:rRNA from 1 species
AUCUGGGGCCAUACCACAGUGAACUUACCGCAUCCCGUCCGAUCUGCGCAGUCAAACACUGUAGAAUUAAUUGAAUGCACUUUGUGGAGGUGGGAAUCAAGAAUUCUGCUGUGGUA